AUUGAACGCUGGCGGCAGGCCUAACACAUGCAAGUCGAGCGAGCGGCGGACGGGUGAGUAAUGUCUGGGAAACUGCCUGAUGGAGGGGGAUAACUACUGGAAACGGUAGCUAAUACCGCAUACCAUCAGACGUGCCCAGAUGGGGGUAGCUAGUAGGUGGGGUAACGGCUCACCAAGGCGACGAUCCCUCGCUGGUCUGGGAGGAUGACCAGCCACAUGGGAACUGAGACACGGCCCAGACGCCUAGGGGAGGCAGCAGUGGGGAAUAUUGCACAAUGGGCGCAAGCCUGAUGCAGCCAUGCCGGGUGUGUGAAGAAGGCCUUCGGGUUGUAAAGCACUUUCAGCGGGGAGGCGUUACCCGCAGAAGAAGCACCGGCUAACUCCGUGCCAGCAGCCGCGGUAAUAC
rnacentral:rRNA from 1 species